rnacentral:lncRNA from 1 species
AUAGUAGUAUGUGAGGCACAGCAGGCUGAUGAGUGUCCUGGUGAUCUCUCUGAUCCAGGCUCUGAUAGACCACAGACUUCCCUGGGAAUGAAGGGAAUGCUCCGUGUCCUCAUGGCCAGUCCCCAGUCAGUUUGGGUGCUCUCCUUUCAGUGCUCCUUGGACCCUGUCUGUGCCAGGUGGCAGCAUGAGCUCCCAGGACAUCUGCAGCUCCCCAGGGGAUCUCCAAGCUCCUGCUCUCCAAAUGAACUCAACUUCUGCUCAGCCAGGUACCAGAGUUGUGCUCCAGUGUAUUCUCCAUGUGUUUUCACAUACAAGACGAAUCAUCUUCUGCAAGGAUGGGAAGGAGGUGUACAGCCAGGAAGCCCAGCAAGGGCAGCUGAGCUACUCCGUGGUCCUGAACAUCACGUCAAGGAGCGCAGGAAGAUAUACAUGUGGGUACCAGCAGAGGAAUGAGAUGAAACAGAGGAGGAGCUCUGCCCUCAGUGCUGGCCGCAUCCUGAAUGUCCCUGGUGAGUCAUGGCCCUGGGCUGGAGGGGUGAGAAGGGACGGAGGCACUUGCCACCACAUGGCUGUGCUGAGGCUGGAGCUGUGUGCUGCAGCAGGCUCUGGGAUGGUUCCCUUACGGGAGUGUUCCCUCUCCUCCAAGGCAGCCCCUACAGAGAGAGAGUUGUUCUCAAGGGGUCCCGUGUCCCUGCAGCACCACCUCUGCUGCAGAGAU